GUGCUCGUUUCAGCAGCACACAUACUAAGAUUGGAACAAUACAGAGAAGAUUAGCAUGGCCCCUGCACAAGGAUGACACACAAAUUCAUAAAGCAUUCCAUAUUUUU
rnacentral:snRNA from 1 species